rnacentral:rRNA from 1 species
UACAGAGGUCCCGAGCGUUAGGCGGAAUCACUGGGCUUAAAGCGUGUGUAGGCGGAUCGUUAAGUACCUUGUGAAAUCCCACGGCUUAACCGUGGAACUGCUUGGUAUACUGGCGGUCUUGAGCCACUUAGGGGCUACCGGAACAAAUGGUGGAGCGGUGAAAUGCGUAGAUAUCAUUUGGAACGCCAAUGGUGAAAACAGGUAGCUGGGAGUGUGCUGACGCUGAGACACGAAAGCCAGGGGAGCAAACGGG